AAUGUGGUACUAUUAAAUGUCGGCUGCUAGGAAUCACGCAGAUGAUUUCUCGGUCUAAUUAGCACAGCAACUCAUCCUUUGUUUAUUCUCCUCUAGUUUCCAUCCACACCGCGUCUUCUUUUUAGAGAAACUAAAGACGACUUCAAGAAUUGAUACACCCACCAUGGCACUUCUGUCAGCGAUCUCGCAGCACCGAUGCUGCCGGCGAGCACUACAUGAUAGCUCCAAGAGCCACCGACGACCAUCGCAUCAUAGCAUCAAGAACCACCUAGUAAUGCUCCAUGGAAAC
rnacentral:lncRNA from 1 species